ACACGUCGGUAACCUGCCCUAUGGUCGAGCAUAACCUCGGGAAACUGAGGGUAAUUCUCGAUAGACGACAACGCCUGGAAUGGCGCCUCGUCAAAACACGUGCCAUAGGAUGGGCCGGCGGCUGAUUAGGCUGUUGGUGGGGUAAUGGCCCACCAAACCGAAGAUCAGUACGGGCCUUGAGAGAGGUAGCCCGGAGAGGGACACUGAGAUACUGGUCCCAGCCCCACGGGGUGCAGCAGGCGCGAAACCUUUACAAUGCACGAAAGUGUGAUAGGGGGAUACUCAGUGCUUACGGUUCUGCCGUAGGCUUUUGUCGAUCGUAAACAGAUCGGCGAAUAAGUGGUGGGUAAGACUGGUGCCAGCCGCCGCGGUAACCCCAGCGCCACGAGUGGUCAUCACGUUUAUUGGGCCUAAAGCGUUCGUAGCCUGUUUGGUGCAUCUCUUGUGAAAUUGUUCGGCUUAACCGGACAGCGUGCAGGAGACACGGCCAGACUCGAGACUGGGAGGCGCAAGAAGUAUGCUGUGGGGACUGGUAAAAUGGGAUAAUCCACAGUAGACUACCGAUGGCGAAGGCAUCUUGCGAGAACAGAUCUGACGGUGAGGAACGAAAGCCAGGGGAGCGAACCGGAUUAGAUACCCGAGUAGUCCUGGCCGUAAACGCUGUGAGCUAGGUGUCGCGCAUCUCACGAAGAUGCGC
rnacentral:rRNA from 1 species